rnacentral:tRNA from 1 species
GCCCGCGUGGUGGAAUGGUAGACGCCGGGGACUUAAAAUCCCCUGCCUUCGGGCGUGCGGGUUCAAGUCCCGCCGCGGGCACCA